GUGUUUGCUUCAGCAGCACACAUACUAAAAUUGGAAUGAUACGGAGAAGAUUUGCAAGGCCCUGGAACUAAGAUGACCUGAAAAUUUGUGAAACAAGCAUUU
ensembl:snRNA U6 U6 spliceosomal RNA